AUUGAACGCUGGCGGCAGGCCUAACACAUGCAAGUCGAGCGGAUGAGUGGAGCCUGCUCCAUGAUUCAGCGGCGGACGGGUGAGUAAUGCCUAGGAAUCUGCCUGGUAGUGGGGGACAACGUUUCGAAAGGAACGCUAAUACCGCAUACGUCCUACGGGAGAAAGUGGGGGAUCUUCGGACCGCACGCUAUCAGAUGAGCCUAGGUCGGAUUAGCUAGUUGGUGAGGUAAAGGCUCACCAAGGCGACGAUCCGUAACUGGUCUGAGAGGAUGAUCAGUCACACUGGAACUGAGACACGGUCCAGACUCCUACGGGAGGCAGCAGUGGGGAAUAUUGGACAAUGGGCGAAAGCCUGAUCCAGCCAUGCCGCGUGUGUGAAGAAGGUCUUCGGAUUGUAAAGCACUUUAAGUUGGGAGGAAGGGCAGUAAGUUAAUACCUUGCUGUUUUGACGUUACCAACAGAAUAAGCACCGGCUAACUUCGUGCCAGCCGCCGCAGUAACAC
rnacentral:rRNA from 1 species